rnacentral:lncRNA from 1 species
UGGUUCGGUUGGGCCUAAUCUGUGUUGGGCCACAAUUGGUUUUGGGUUAAAGGAUUCUGAUUUUUUGGGAUUUAGUCUAUUUAUUCUUGGAUCUUUGAACUUAGGAAUUUAAGGGAUUGGAAUUAGUUUAAAUUAUGUUUCUAAAUUAAUUAAAUAAUUAAUAUUUAUGUUUAAUCAGGGGUUCGUGAUAUCUGUGACAGGAAUUUUUAAGCGAACCCAGGUAGGUGACUUAUUGCUUUAAAGUAGAAUUUUAACAUGUAUCUUGCAUAUGUUGAUUUAUUGAUUUAUUAUUGGCAUUAUUGUUAGAUUUAGAAUUAAAUAUUUAAUUUCAUAAAUUGUUAUGUGCUUUACUGUUGGGAGUAUGAUUAUGACUUUGAUAUAGAAAGUUGAUUUAUUGAUUUUUAAAAUCCGCGUGACUAUAGUCUAGGCCCCGCCAAUAGGAUGAUACGUUGGCCCUGUCGACUUGUACUGAGGAACUAGUUCCGACACCGCGACCACCGGUGAUAGAAUAGUGGCGGCACAGGGGUGCAUUUUGCUCUUCGGAGCGGCUCAGUGGAGCGUGAGUUUGGCACCAGGGGGUGCGGCACAGUGGUGCGUUGGCUCAGUGGAGCGGCUCUUCGGAGAGUUGUAUUGGCACUUCGGUGUAACCAUGCCACUGGGUGAUGUGGCCGUAGUCAUGCGGUUGAGUUAUUUUGAGUCUCGGAUUGGGUUUACAGAUUAUUAU